ACGAACGCUGGCGGCGUGCCUAAUACAUGCAAGUCGUACGCUUCUUUUUCCACCGGAGCUUGCUCCACCGGAAAAAGAAGAGUGGCGAACGGGUGAGUAACACGUGGGUAACCUGCCCAUCAGAAGGGGAUAACACUUGGAAACAGGUGCUAAUACCGUAUAACAAUCGAAACCGCAUGGUUUUGAUUUGAAAGGCGCUUUCGGGUGUCGCUGAUGGAUGGACCCGCGGUGCAUUAGCUAGUUGGUGAGGUAACGGCUCACCAAGGCCACGAUGCAUAGCCGACCUGAGAGGGUGAUCGGCCACAUUGGGACUGAGACACGGCCCAAACUCCUACGGGAGGCAGCAGUAGGGAAUCUUCGGCAAUGGACGAAAGUCUGACCGAGCAACGCCGCGUGAGUGAAGAAGGUUUUCGGAUCGUAAAACUCUGUUGUUAGAGAAGAACAAGGAUGAGAGUAACUGUUCAUCCCUUGACGGUAUCUAACCAGAAAGCCACGGCUAACUACGUGCCAGCAGCCGCGGUAAUACGUAGGUGGCAAGCGUUGUCCGGAUUUAUUGGGCGUAAAGCGAGCGCAGGCGGUUUCUUAAGUCUGAUGUGAAAGCCCCCGGCUCAACCGGGGAGGGUCAUUGGAAACUGGGAGACUUGAGUGCAGAAGAGGAGAGUGGAAUUCCAUGUGUAGCGGUGAAAUGCGUAGAUAUAUGGAGGAACACCAGUGGCGAAGGCGGCUCUCUGGUCUGUAACUGACGCUGAGGCUCGAAAGCGUGGGGAGCAAACAGGAUUAGAUACCCUGGUAGUCCACGCCGUAAACGAUGAGUGCUAAGUGUUGGAGGGUUUCCGCCCUUCAGUGCUGCAGCUAACGCAUUAAGCACUCCGCCUGGGGAGUACGACCGCAAGGUUGAAACUCAAAGGAAUUGACGGGGGCCCGCACAAGCAGUGGAGUAUGUGGUUUAAUUCGACGCAACGCGAAGAACCUUACCAGGUCUUGACAUCCUUUGACCACUCUAGAGAUAGAGCUUCCCCUUCGGGGGCAAAGUGACAGGUGGUGCAUGGUUGUCGUCAGCUCGUGUCGUGAGAUGUUGGGUUAAGUCCCGCAACGAGCGCAACCCUUAUUGUUAGUUGCCAUCAUUCAGUUGGGCACUCUAGCAAGACUGCCGGUGACAAACCGGAGGAAGGUGGGGAUGACGUCAAAUCAUCAUGCCCCUUAUGACCUGGGCUACACACGUGCUACAAUGGGAAGUACAACGAGUCGCGAAGUCGCGAGGCUAAGCUAAUCUCUUAAAGCUUCUCUCAGUUCGGAUUGUAGGCUGCAACUCGCCUACAUGAAGCCGGAAUCGCUAGUAAUCGCGGAUCAGCACGCCGCGGUGAAUACGUUCCCGGGCCUUGUACACACCGCCCGUCACACCACGAGAGUUUGUAACACCCGAAGUCGGUGAGGUAACCUUUUGGAGCCAGCCGCCUAAGGUGGGAUAGAUGAUUGGGGUG
rnacentral:rRNA from 1 species